AACGCACAUUGCGCCCGCCAGUAUUCUGGCGGGCAUGCCUGUUCGAGCGUCAUUUCAACCAUCAAGCCCCAGGCUUGUGUUGGGGACCUGCGGCUGCCGCAGGCCCUGAAAUCCAGUGGCGGGUUCGCUGUCACCCCGAGCGUAGUAGCAAUAUCUCGCUCAGGGCGUGCUGCGGGCGCCGGCCGUUAAAAGCUGCCUUCUGGCAACACCCAAGGUUGACCUCGGAUCAGGUAGGAAGACCCGCUGAACUUAA
rnacentral:misc_RNA from 1 species